rnacentral:rRNA from 2 species
UGGGAGCUUGCUCCCUGAUGUUAGCGGCGGACGGGUGAGUAACACGUGGGUAACCUGCCUGUAAGACUGGGAUAACUCCGGGAAACCGGGGCUAAUACCGGAUGGUUGUUUGAACCGCAUGGUUCAGACAUAAAAGGUGGCUUCGGCUACCACUUACAGAUGGACCCGCGGCGCAUUAGCUAGUUGGUGAGGUAACGGCUCACCAAGGCGACGAUGCGUAGCCGACCUGAGAGGGUGAUCGGCCACACUGGGACUGAGACACGGCCCAGACUCCUACGGGAGGCAGCAGUAGGGAAUCUUCCGCAAUGGACGAAAGUCUGACGGAGCAACGCCGCGUGAGUGAUGAAGGUUUUCGGAUCGUAAAGCUCUGUUGUUAGGGAAGAACAAGUGCCGUUCAAAUAGGGCGGCACCUUGACGGUACCUAACCAGAAAGCCACGGCUAACUACGUGCCAGCAGCCGCGGUAAUACGUAGGUGGCAAGCGUUGUCCGGAAUUAUUGGGCGUAAAGGGCUCGCAGGCGGUUUCUUAAGUCUGAUGUGAAAGCCCCCGGCUCAACCGGGGAGGGUCAUUGGAAACUGGGGAACUUGAGUGCAGAAGAGGAGAGUGGAAUUCCACGUGUAGCGGUGAAAUGCGUAGAGAUGUGGAGGAACACCAGUGGCGAAGGCGACUCUCUGGUCUGUAACUGACGCUGAGGAGCGAAAGCGUGGGGAGCGAACAGGAUUAGAUACCCUGGUAGUCCA